CAGAAUGCACUCGAUGUUUCUAAGCGACCAAGAGCAUGCAGGCGUACCAACACUACUCCUGGGAUUAAGCACGAACACCCUCAGCCAGAAUAUCCUGUCUCCGGAACAAGAUUUGAACCAGACUGAUGCCACGCAUGGAACACAAUGAGCAAAGGGUUGAGUUGCGUUAAUCAAAGUCUCUACCCCAAACCCUCAAACGCCCAUCACGGUAUAAAAACUCGUUUAUUUUCCGUUUGGUACAAGAACAACGUAUCCAAGGGGGAAUACGAGUACGUCACUACGUUUCGACAUCGAUGUGAGGUGUGGAUCGAUUACAGUUUAGCGCUCAACGGGCACUUAGUCGAUCAAUAAAGAUCUAACAGCGAGGUUUACAUCAUAAGCUGAGGAGACAAGAAUGAGGCGGGCGAAGAUAUUUUAUCACUAUAUAAACUUCGCAUUUUAUAUGUGAAAGUUCUUAUUCUUUUUUACUGGAUCGUUUCAGCUGAACAUCAUCUUGGCGAAGAGCCCAUCACAAAGUCAGGGUACGAAAGUUUUGUUAAUACGGAUCCAAAGUGUUCACUUUACAACUCACUUUGCACAGGGAGACACUAAAAUGCCAACAUUUCGCAGUACAGGUGUCUGGCUGUGUCCCUCCGAGCGAACGUUUAUAGUUCAUAGGUGAUCAGACAUGCUGAAGAAUUACCGAAAGAAA